rnacentral:rRNA from 1 species
UACGUAGGGUCCGAGCGUUGUCCGGAAUUAUUGGGCGUAAAGGGCUCGUAGGCGGUUCGUCACGUCGGGAGUGAAAACUCGGAGCUUAACUCCGAGCCUGCUUCCGAUACGGGCAGACUAGAGGUAGGCAGGGGAGAGCGGAACUCCUGGUUUAGCGGUGGAAUGCGCAGAUAUCAGGAAGAACACCGGUGGCGAAGGCGGCUCUCUGGGCCUUACCUGACGCUGAGGAGCGAAAGCGUGGGUAGCGAACAGG